rnacentral:lncRNA from 1 species
AGGGGCUCUCCAUGGUUUCAGACAUUUUAUCAGGAGGUCCAUUCCUCACAGUGUAGGAAUUGGGCCUUCAAGUGUGACAGCAUCUCCCCUGGGGAAUUCCACCCCACGUCUCCAUGGGGUGUCUUUUUCUCAAUAAUCUUUAUGCAUGUUGAAGACCUUCCUUUUUCCAACAAGUUUUUUAAAUUAAGAUUUUCAUCCUAGUCCUUUUUGGUGCCACACCUGAAAUUGUUUUUGUGCAUGGUUGUUGUUUUAAUUGUUGGUGAGUUUAUUGUGAAAUUGCUUUGGGAUCUUUAAUGGGGAGCGAUUCAUAAAUGAAGUAAACAGGAAAACAUCAGGGAAAGUAUUGAGUGUUUGUGUUGGCUGUUCUUACUGGUGGAAUGCAGGAGGUACAACUUGACCUGAAAGGGUAGAUAGAUCCUUCUGCUGUAGAAGCUCUCUUGGGCUGCUUCAAACACUUCUUUUGGCAGGGGUAAUACUUGUGUAAUAGAAAGCUAUUUGGUAUUUCAGUGGAUUCCUCAAUAGGCCCGUGAAAUCUAAAUGGCGUGAUAGGCUUUUCCUAAUCUAGAGUCAUGGGAGCAGCUGCAUUUGCAAAUAUAUCUGAACUGGCUCAUAGUCAGAGGCGGAAUUCCCAUCUUACCCCUGAGUGGGUCUAUUCCACUCAAGGGAUUAUGGGGGUUGGACAUCCUUCCUGCUACAGUUCUUCUUGCUGUGUCCCUGAAGUAAAUGGAUUUGAAAACAGAGGCAAUGGAAGGAGGAUAGUUGAGUGGCCAUAGAUCAGUGUUAAAGCUGAAGGGUAGGAGCUGUAGCUUAGCAGUGUUGAGCACUUGGUUUGCCAGCAUCAAGUCUUUGGCAUCUCAAGUUAGAAGGAACUCUGCUGGCAUGCUUGGAGAGCCCAAGGCCUUGAAACACUGCUGCCAGUCAAAGUAGGCCAGCUUUCCUCAACCUGGCGCCCUCCCAGGUGUUGCUGAACUCUCAACUUCCAUUAGCACUAUCAGUAUAGGCAGUGAUCAGGGAUGAUGGGGGCUAUAGUCCCAACAACACCCAGAAAGCAUCGUGUUGUGAAAGGCCAACAGACACUAUAUUGGUCUACAGAGAUAUAUGGGCUGACUCAGUACAAGAGAGCUGCAUAUGAAUUCUUGAAGGGGUGCAUUGUCAGGUUUCCUGUAAAUUUACCCAAGGGGGGAGGAGCUGGCUGUAUGCAAUUAAUCCCAAAGGGGAACAUGGGUCAGUGCUUGUCCCUUGGGUUGCAGAGGGCAAAUGCAUUUUUGCGCUGUACUUUAAAACGUGACAAUGAGAGAAAACCAAAGCUAUCUGUUUCCUAGGAAGGAAUUGUAGGAAAAGCCAGUAUUUAUUUUUUUUUAGCCAGAGUGCAGAACUGGCACCUCUCAGGUGGAUGCUGUUGUGAGCCAGGAGUUUCCCUACCCACUUCUUGCCAUUAUGUACUUAUGAGAAGCCCAGAAUUUCAAAUCAAAACAAAAGCUGACCAGUGGGUGCAAGUCUACACUUUUUUUUUAGAUCUAUGACUCCUCCUAGUUCCUAGCCACAAUUAGCCACAAUUGGUGGGACCAAUUCAUAUUUCCUUUUCUUCAAUCCGCCUUGUGUGUAGUGGCAGCUGGCUUAAACUUUCCAGCCAGGCCUCUACUAUUGCAUGUCUAUGCAUUUGCGCAAGGGCCAUUCCGAGCUGCCCUACUCACCUGCCUGAAUCUAAGAAAACGAGGGAGGUGGGGUGCAUUUAUUUGACCUUCACCAGAACCACGGGCGACCCCCUAAUCAGCUAGGGAGACAGCUUGCCGUAGUUUUUAGCACCUCCGUGAACAGGCUGUUGUCAAACCUGCAUAUGUUCAGGGCUGUCCUGACUUGCCUUACUGUAACAACUUUGUGGUGAGUUCCAGCACCUAUUUUUCUUGGGAAAAAAAGCACUGGGAAAAACCUUCCUCAAAAAUACGCUUUCAGUUUGCUCACUUUUGCUUUUUGAAAUAAUAGUUUUAGGAAAUGAGCAUUAUUAAGCAGUGUUCCUCCAAUAUCUGCCUUAGAGGGUCUCGCAGCCCCACAUAGCAGAUUUGAGGGUGCUCAGAUACACUCAGUGGGGGGUUACAGCCCAUCACAAGCUCCAUUGCUCAGAAGGAAACUAUGGUCUUCAUUGUGGAAGUCUCACCUUUUUUUUGGAGGGGGGGUGAGAAACCCUCUUGCAAUCCACUUAUUCCAAGACAGGCACUUAAGUGCGUUUGAUUUUGUCCUUAAGAAUGAACUUCUGAUGACUCUAUUUUCAUUAAUAAUGAUCCAUGGCUGAUAAACCAGUGGCAAGAUAAUGACUUUACUAUGUAAAAAUAAAAAUGCAUCAUUAAAGCACACUCAUUCAUCUACAUUCUUGGUAUAAGGUUGGGCUGCUUUAAAAUCUUUGAUUGUUGCUUUAGAGGCAAGUACCCAUUUGUCGUUUGAGUGAACUGAUGUCCCUAAAGUAGGAGUUAUUCUGGCAUUCUGCAGUUGCAUAGGAGCUACAAGAAUGGAUGGCUGUUCAAAAGCAGUUCUUCCUUUUUUUAAGUUGAUAUUGACAAAACCCAGGAAGCAUUAAACCAGAGGUCAUGGCAAAACGCUUACGCUGUAGUCUCUGUGAUUGGGGAGCCUAAAUAUUUAUCCUGGUCUGUCCCUAAUGAAAACAAAUUGUCAACAGUUGUUCAGUAACUGACUAAAUUAAAAUCUGUAAUUAGUCAAUUAGAUUAAAGAGUUGGCACAACCUGAUUGUAUCAUGCUGGUUAGGUUAUUAAGAGAAAGGGUGUGAUUUUUAAUUACUGCAUGCUAAUUUUGACAGUUUCAAAUGGAAACAGACGUUCCCCCCCACUACCCCCACCCCACGAUGUGCUGCGUUUUUGUGAAAUAAGGCAACAAAAUGUAGUUUACUCUCAACAAAAGACCUGAAGUUCCUUCUCUCUAAAUUCAGUGAGAGUUGAAUUUCAGCUGGGAAGUCCCUUGGAUAAGGAAUGCAGAGUGGGGUUAUUAAAUUCUGCAAUUACUAUUUUUAAAAAAGUCUAUUGACAAAUAGGGUAUUUUUGCUGUAAGUGUGAGGGCUGAUACGUCUGUUUUUGCAGAGUUGGGAUGUUUUUGUAUUUGUCUUAAGGAAGUCUGGGCUGUAGACUUUGCAGAUUGAAACCCUCAGUAACUGCAGAACUUGUUUGGGGCCAGCAGAAGCAUUGUUCUGGUGAGGAUAGAGAGAUGUGGAAAAGUCGGGUGUCUGUGUAUUGGAAGCUGUGUUUACGAUAGAUCCAUACACUGCUUGCAAUCUUGUGGGUGUUGCAAAGAGCACUUCCUGACACAAUGACUAGAACUCUCUGGUCGACAGAGGUCUGCCUUGGCCGUUCCCUCUUUCCCCCUUUCUUUGUACUCUUUUGCUUGUUGAAAUCACUUGUAAUCUGCUCUUGGCAUGGGCCGCUUGUUAAAGAGGGCUCCCCCCCCCCAGGCUAACGGAUGUGUAGCUCUGAGAUGCUAGUGACACAGAAGUGAGUCAUCCCCCCUCCCAAUUCUUCCUCCUCUUUACCUCCCCCCCCCACUCCUUAUUGUGCAGGCUUGGAUCACCAUUAGAAAAGGGAGUGAAGGUGGUAUUUAUUUAUUUUGGGGGGGGCAGUGUUGGGAAACAGAGCCUUUUGCUGCAAGUGUAAAAGGCUCUUUAUUUUUCUGCAAGAUAUGCUGCUCGUCUGCUUCUCUCCAUGCCCCCGACAUAUGACUGCAAGCAAAAUCUGGUGUCUGGACUGCAUGGGUUGUGGAUUGGCCUCCCGGGUGCACUGAGUGUGUUGGGGGUGGGGUGGGGGUUGGUGCCUUUGUGCUGUGAUCCCCCCCCCCUUCUUCCUCAGAAAGAAUAAAGGAGGGGGGGAGAGAGAGAGAGAGAAGUUUUGUCUUUGAAGGGGUGUGUAUGUGUCUUUAAGGGGCUGACAGAUUUGUAGCUCUGAGUAAAUACAAACCUUGUAAACCUUCCUUCAUUUCCUUUCUGUGGUCCUUUCUGAGGAACAAAGAAACUCAAAGCAGUUCACAUACAAAAGCUAGGGGAGACUUCUCCCUCCACUGAGGAGCAGUCAUAACAAGGGCUCCUACCCCAACAGCAAAGAGAGGAGAGAUUUUUGUUAAUAGGGAGAAGAAUUCAGGAGAAAUGGUUCUUUGCAGAAGCAGGCAAUUAAUGAAUUUUGCUAGGCUGGUGCAACAUGUGUGACUCUGAGUAGGGCUUUCCUGUUCUGUUGAUCAUUUCCUUCCUUACCUUGGAAGCUUGGAUUUUAUCCUACCUUUUUGUAAAGUACUUUAUGUGUCUCAUUUAAAAGCAGUCUCUUUUGAUCUCCAGAUAACAACGGUUUAUUCAGUUUUAGGAAAACUUGAUAUUUAAGUCCGCCUGAAGCUUGCACUUCAGUAAUGGCUGCUUUAGAGGGAUGAAAUGUAGUAUUUGGGCAGAUCAAACUUCAAAUUAUCUAAGACUGCUUUGUUUACAGGAGUUUUCUGGGGUGGUGGGGUCUGCAACAGGGUGCAACAUUCAAAUAGUCAGAAAAUCUUGGCUUCAUCCAAGGGGGUCAUCUAGAAAGGAAAUACUGACAUUUGCAAAUAUUAAGGCAUUGGUUGCAGAGAUCUCUAGAACAAUUUGGUUAUACUUGGGGCCCACUGAGAUGAACAAGGAAGAUUAGACAUUGACUAAUUAAGGCCCAUUGAGUCACACAACUUAGUUUGGAUCCCAUCCUUGACACUUAAAACUUUGAACUUUUGCAGCAGAAGUCAAGUUGUAUAUGUUGCAACUCACGGAUGCAACAAGUAGUUGCUCAUCUUCUUGGGGGACGUGGUAGUGGAGGAGGGACCACGACAACGUUAAUAUAAUACACUAAGAAGCACCUUCUAAAGCUGAGAAAAAAUUGCAAAACAUACAAAAGUUUAAAUACUAAAAUAGUUGGUUUAUAAAGUUAAAACUUUUAAAAAGAUUAUUAAAAUUUUGUGGUCUGCGAAGCUCCAUGCCCAGCUGCCUGACCUACCACCAUCAUACUAAAAUAGAUUAAAAUUACCUCGACUUUCUAAGCAUUUGGGGAGGCUUAUCUAAAGAAUGCUUUUAGCAGACAUCGAAAAGAGUAAAGGGAAAGGUGCCAUCUUGAUCUCAACAGGCAAGGAGUUCCAAAGUGCAGGUGCUGCCAUACUAAACUAUUGAGUUCUUACAAACGUAGAACCGGUAUUAAGCGGCACCUGUAGUAGUGGAAAUACUUGGAAAAAUAUUAUUGAGAUUGAGAUUGCUAGAUCUUUCAUCAGAAAUCUUAGAGAACCCGUAUGGGUCUUUAGGGCUUAAAGAUCCAUUUACUUAAAUUUGCAUAUGAAUAAAACCAAGCAUUUUGAAGGGCCAACUUUUUUUUAAGAUGAAGCCUGCAUGUGUCACUGAAGACACCAUUUUAGGAGAUGCAUUCCCUCUUUUUACUGUCAG